rnacentral:rRNA from 1 species
CCUACGGGUGGCAGCAGUGAGGAAUAUUGGUCAAUGGACGAGAGUCUGAACCAGCCAAGUAGCGUGAAGGAUGACUGCCCUAUGGGUUGUAAACUUCUUUUAUAUGGGAAUAAAAUGUUCCACGUGUGGGAUUUUGUAUGUACCAUAUGAAUAAGGAUCGGCUAACUCAGUGCCAGCAGCCGCGGUAAUACGGAGGAUCCGAGCGUUAUCCGGAUUUAUUGGGUUUAAAGGGAGCGUAGGUGGAUUGUUAAGUCAGUUGUGAAAGUUUGCGGCUCAACCGUAAAAUUGCAGUUGAAAAUGGCAGUCUUGAGUACAGUAGAGGUGGGCGGAAUUCGUGGUGUAGCGGUGAAAUGCUUAGAUAUCACGAAGAACUCCGAUUGCGAAGGCAGUUCACUGGACUGCAACUGACACUGAGGCUCGAAAGUGUGGGUAUCAAACAGGAUUAGAUACCCGUGUAGUC